rnacentral:lncRNA from 1 species
ACCUGGAUCACUGGGCUGCCCUAAUCAAGGAUAUCAAAAAUGAAGGGGCAGCUAAAGAAAAAUAAAAGACACCUCAGAAAGUAGCCUGCCUCUUUGACAAGGGACAUGCCUUCAGAGGAACAUAACAGAAACCUCUGAGAAUUGUCAACAAUAAAAAGACUGAGCAACAAGGGAAACUGGUAGGAAGCCAAAGGUUUUAAGAGGUGAGAGUGGAGAAAUGCUGUGCUUUUAUUGAUCCUCUCCAAAGGAACAAACUUAAAAAAGCAUGAUAGAAAUUGGCACUAAUCCUCAUAAGAGAAGAAUGUCAGCCAAGCCAGUGAAGGAAUUUUGGAGUUCGCUUUGAAGACUUAUGCACUCUCCAGCUGGUCACAGACACUACACUCACCCAUUUUGUAAAUACACUUUUUUUUGUUUUGUUUUUUAAGCUUCUCACUUCAGUAUCUACCAGACAGGCUUGUGCAAGGAGUGAACUAGUAUUGUAUCUGUUAAUUUCUUUGCAGGCAAAAAUCAAGUUACCAGGAAAAUAUUUUUUAAAAACCACGAACAGUCUAAGAGCACUGAACAUUUUGAAUCAUUUGCCUUUUCUCAACACUGGAUUUUAAGCAAGGAACAAGACUAUUCCAGUUCUAAAUGCUUUAAUGAACAAGGGGUAUUGGGUUUUAGCAUCAACCUCACUCUGAAGCUUUAACUUGAGUAGCUGCUGUGCUUUGUAAAGCUUCAAUCCAAUUCAUUUGAUAACUACAAUUACCAAAUCUGGGCAUUGCUG